rnacentral:rRNA from 1 species
CAGCACCUCAAGUGGUCAGGAUGAUUAUUGGGCCUAAAGCAUCCGUAGCCGGCUCUGUAAGUUUUCGGUUAAAUCUGUACGCUCAACGUACAGGCUGCCGGGAAUACUGCAGCGCUAGGGAGUGGGAGAGGUAGACGGUACUCGGUAGGAAGGGGUAAAAUCCUUUGAUCUAUUGAUGACCACCUGUGGCGAAGGCGGUCUACCAGAACACGUCCGACGGUGAGGGAUGAAAGCUGCGGGAGCAAACCGGAUUAGAGACCCGAGUAGUCC